AUAGAGAGUUUUGAGCUGUGCCAUCGACAUGGGUCUGUAUCGUGCCGGUAUCUUGUUGGCACGGUAGAUACAGUCCGUGCCGACGGGCACUUAAAACCUUGCUUAUAACACCAUUGUAAUUUACCAACAGCUCCCAUACAUAAUGCAAGCGGCAGCUUCAAAUUGGAGCUUCUGCUUGUGGGACUCUCAAGCUCAUUUCAGCUUUGUGCUCAAGAAAAAGCAUCAACAUUUUGGUUACCAAACUCAUGGUUGCUGCUUCUCUGAGUAGAUAAAUUGCUUGAAAAGCCAAGUCAAAAGCAAUGCUUUGUAGAACACUAUCUUAUAAGUAACUAUCAGCGGUCAAGCUUUAACAACAGUCCUUUUGUUUUCUAAUUCGGUUCUCUUCUAUAUUCUAUGUAUAGGAGGUGCUCAAAGUCAUUCAGGUGAAAUUCGAGAAAGCAAAGGAGGAAGUGAACUCAGACCUGGCUGUUUUUGCAGGGGACUUGGUUGGCAUUAUGGAAAAAUAUGCAGAUACGCAUCCUGAAUGGAAAGAAACGUUAGAAGAUCUGCUGAUACUUGCUCGGAGCUGUUGUGUCAUGACACCUGGCGAGUUCUGGAUCCAGUGUGAAGCCAUAGUGCAGGACUUAGAUGACCAUCGCCAGGAACUUCCUAUGGGGGUACUAAAGAAAUUAUAUACUCGUAUGCUGUUUAUUCUUACUAGAUGCACAAGAUUGCUUCAGUUCCACAAGGAAAGUGGCUUUGCUGAGGAUGAAGUCGUUAUGGAUCUUCGUGAACCUAGAAUUGUACAGUCUGCUGAUAGAAAAAUUUCAGCUGGACCAGCUAUAGAUGGCAAAAGCACUAAAGUUAUAAAGAGCUCCAAUGAGGCAGCUUCCUCAAGAAAAUCUUAUAGUCAAGAACAGCGUAACUUGAAGUGGAAAAGAAGUCAAGAGAUAAAGCCGGUCAAUUUCUUUUCACCACUUGGGGCGGAAAUUGGGAAGGAUAGUGAAUCCCCUGCUAGCAGAGAGCGAAUGGCUUCUUGGAAGCCCUUCCCUUCUCCUGGUGUUAAACAUCAAAAAGCAGCUAGUUCCCUUGCUAAAGAGGAACCAUCAAACAGGGUUGUCGAACCUUCACACUUUACGAGUAAAAGAGAUAUGAUCUCAACCACUAUAAACCCCCCUGAAUUACCUAGUUCCUUAGAUUCUUGUGCUCAACCAUCUAUUGAAACGAAGCAUCAGCACAAAGUUUCUUGGGGUAAUUGGUCUGAUCAACCGAAUAUUUCUGAAGAUGGCUCAAUAAUGUGUCGCAUUUGUGAGGAGCAUGUGCCCACUCUCUAUGUGGAAGAUCAUUCAAAGGUCUGUGCCAUUGCAGACAGGUGUGAUCAGAAAGGUGUAAGUGUUGACGAACGCCUUCUAAGAAUUGCUGAAACCUUAGAGAAGAUGAUAGAGUCUUACCCCCAAAAGGAUCAUCCGAAUGCAGUUGGAAGUCCAGAUGUUGCAAAAGUUUCUAAUUCAAGUGUAACUGAAGAGUCUGAUGUUCUUUCUCCGAAGCUCAGUGAUUGGUCCCGAAGAGGAUCGGCUGACAUGCUGGACUGCUUUCAAGAGUCUGACAACCCUAUCUGUUUUGACGAUCUAAAGAAUUUGCCAUCUAUGACGUGUAAAACUCGUUUUGGACCAAAGUCUGAUCAAGGAAUGGCUACCUCAUCGGCAGGAAGCAUGACUCCUCGGUCUCCUUUGGUGACGCCACGAUCGCAUCACAUAGACGUUCUUUUAGCCGGGAGGAAUGCACUUGCUGAGAGUGAUGAUCUUCCACAGGUUAGAUGCUAUGGGGCUAUCCAAUUCAAACUAAUUGUUGAAUAUCAAUAUUAAAAACAAAACUCUUUGGGAGCUCCAGCUUUCGGAGAAUAACAGUUGUUUCAUAUUCAUUAGCAUGGCCUUGGAGGAGGUCCUAAGUUCGAAUCGAGUAUUGAAUAUAAAUAUUAAAAACACUAUUCUUUGGGAGCUUAAGCUUUUGGAGAAUGACGAUUGUUUCAUAUUCAUUAACACUAAUCAUUUAGUUUCUUAAGAUUGCUAUCUGUGUUUUAUAUAUAGUUCAUGUUCUAGAGUAGGACUGUCAGGAGGAUGACACUGCGCAUAUUUUUUGUGUGUUGGUAGCUUGGUAUUUUUCUUUAUGAAUUUCAUACAUUUCAUAUAUGUAUAUGUAUAUGUAUAUAUAUAUAUAUAUAUAUACACACACAUGUUGGAAUGUUAUAUGCAGGGUGAACUGAUGAACUCUAAUUCUAUCAGCCUGAAAUCCAUUAGUAAGGAAAAUUAUAACUUUACUAGCAGCUCAAAUAUUGAUUGUUGUCUACAACAUUUGAACAAUUCCUGAAAACAUGGCAAUUAGAACAUCUUUAGAGCAGUAUCUGUAACUUAAUGGAACAUUUGUUACUUGGCUGCAUGCUCUGUUACUUUUUUGACUGUGAGUCAGAGACUAUUAAGUUCUGAAGUAGGGCUCAAUGGACUUUCUUGAUAUCAAACAGUGCAUUAGUGGAAGGGGUCAAAUAAAAAACCCUUUAGAUAUUUAUUCCAAAGUGGUCUAUAGUUGGGAGAAACAUGUACAUUUUCUCCUAUCUAGUAGGAGAGUCUAGCUAUUAUCCUUUUAGGAGGGUGUAGGUUUUCGUGCUUCUAGGUCAUUUUCUAUAAUUGGGCAACCUAAUUGCCAACCAAUACGGUUAAACAUGAUCUAGAGUAUUUAGAGUAUCUUGGAAUUGAGUUUUAUGAUUUUAAAAAUUAUUUGGUUUUGUGCAUCAAAUGGCUACGAAGUGAAAAAUCAAAAUCGAAUAACCUUAUAAAAGUAGAGGCUUGAAAGUUUUUAAUUCAGAUAGGGCUUGUUGAUUGUGAUCCAGAUAGUAAAAGGAAUUUACUAAAGAAGUUCAAUUGAUUUGGGUUCUUUUAUAUCAUUAAACAAGCAAAUGGCUCAUAUAGGCCAUAAAAAAGCUAUUGAUUUUGAGGCCUUACAAUCACUUCGUAAAUUGUUUUAAAAAAUCACAAAAUUUGGUUCUAAUAUAGUUAAAAUACUUAGAUCAUGAUUGAUGGUGUUAAUCGUUGAUUGGAAUUCUUUGUCAUCAUAAAUGGCUUGACAGGACGAAAGGAUGUGUCCUCCUAAAAGGAUAGUAACUAGACACACGUAUGUGGUUGUCAAUGAUCCAUAUUUUAUCCUAUUCACACUAUUGUAUUUGAUUUUAACACACUUGCAGCAUGGGUAGCGUCAAUUUUGUUCGCUUCACAUCUUUUCUGACAACCACAUUCCCACUUGCUUAAUUUAGAUGAUAAAUUCGCAGCGACCUGAGGGGCCUUGUUCAAAAUAUCCCAUAAUACAGAAGCUACCGUAACCAAUUCUUUUUGUUGUGUAUAGCCCUCAAUUAUACUGUUGGCUUUUCUUCAAGCUCUUUGUUCCUCUAUCUUACCUGCAUAUUGUCUUAUCUGACGCCAAACUUUUUUGUUUUUAUAAAACUUUGCCAUGUUAACACGGAUCUAUUAGAGUUGCCAACUAUAUGCUUGUUGUAGAACACCGGGCUUUCAAGUUGAUUUUUUUCAAGACAUUAUUAUGAGGAAAAUGCGUCACUUUCCCAGAUGGAUUGGCUUCUAUGAACUACUGUUUACAGUGGAGAAGUUCCAUACUAAACCGCCAUAGCAUUGGUGAUUAGGUACUCAGGUACUCAGUUGUGUUGCCUCCUAUCCUGGGUACAAUCCUGGGCUGUUCUUAAAAUGGGAAUGUGUACUUAUGGGCUGGGGAAGCCUAGUGCUGUUUCAAACAAAAGGAGGGAAAAAAAAAAACCAAUAAUGAUUUUUUGGCUACUUCAAUAGCUCUUGAGGUCAAUGCUUCCUAGUAUGCUAAAUUCCAACGGCAAGUGUUUUUAAUUUUAGUGAUCCUACAUAUGGUUUACUUUGACACAAGCUACAGUACUUUUAAAUGCUGAGAAUAAUUGGUAAUUGCAUAAUGUUUUUCUCAAGAUUCUCUAGGCUACGACAUUUGCUUUCUUAAGCUGAAUAUGGAGUUCUGGUUAAAAAAAAAAAAAAAAAAAAAAAAAAAAAAAAAAACUUGAUUGCCAUCUGAAUUGUUUCUUCAAAUGGCUCAGAUAAUUGAACUUGCUGAUAUUGCUCGAUGCAUAGCAAAUGCACCUUUGGAUGAAGAACGAUCUUUGUCAUACUUAGUUUCAUGCGUAGAAGACCUACAAGAAGUUAUCAACCGUCGGAAACAUGAGGCCCUUACCGUUCAGACAUUUGGCACACGUAUAGAGAAGCUCCAUCGGUGAGAAUAUCUACUUAAUUUCUCUAGCACUUUAGGUUUUGGAAUGAAUUACUGGUAGCUUACUUUCCAUUUUAUUUUAGGACUUAAGAGGAUCAAAACAUAAUAUGUUGUUAUCAUUUAUUCUGGCUAUUUGAUUUAUCAUUUAUGAUGCAAUUAUGAUCCUUUAGGGAGAAGUACUUGCAGCUUUGUGAUACAGUUGACACUGAAAAGAUAGAUAUAACGAGUACUGUAAUGGAUGAAGAAGAUGAUGUGGUCCGUAGCUUGCGAGCAAGCCCUGUUCAUCCUAUUACUAAGGAGCGUACAUCUAUUGACGACUUCGAAAUCAUAAAACCGAUUAGCCGUGGAGCAUUUGGUCGAGUUUUCUUGGCAAAGAAAAGAACAACAGGAGAUCUGUUUGCUAUAAAGGUACUAUUUUACUGCUUAGAUGUUAUAUACUUAAUACUAGGAUCCAUAGCUCCGUAAAUAGAAAACUUAUAAGCUAUAAAGGAGAACAGUGUUAGCUAUAAUUUCUUGCAAUUUCCGACUCGAACUUUCAAAAUUGUUGCAAUCAAGUGCCACAACCGAAUUUCAUUGACUAAAUGCUGACGCAUCGUUGAUUGCAUUAUCAAUCACAACAUUGCAAUAUCACUUCUAUAUUAACGAUUCAUCAAUAUUUAAUCAACUAAAUUAGAUUAUAGGACUUGAUUGCAACAAUUUUAAAAGCUCGAACCAAAAAUUGCAACAAAUUAUAGUUUUGAGGACUAAAAUGUCACCUGCCUCAUAGUUUGAGGACCAAACAUGCAAUUUACCCUAGGAAUUAUCACCAGUACAAAAGAAAUACAUUACGGAAAACUUUACAAGAAUGCUUUACAUCAGCUAUACAACCUUGGCAAUUCUAGCGAAGUAGGACCUGAAAUCCAUAUAACAAUAAAUACAUGCGGUUAAAAAAGAAAACUAAGGUCCAACUUUGUGAUCAAAUGCUUAGCUCAAUUUAAUGGCCAGAAGCUAUCCAUCACAACUAGGUUUUUCCAGCAAAAAAAAUCAUGCUCACAAGAUGUUUCACACAAGAGAUGAUGUUUUUCCAUCUUUCCUGAUCUAGACAAGUAUUGUCUUCUUGCAAUAUAAAGUAUUAAUGUGAUGUCUUUCCAAACAUUGUAUCUUUGGCAUGCAUGUGAUGAUAAAAAGCUAGUUUUCAUUGUAAACAGGUCCUUAGAAAGGCAGAUAUGAUUCGGAAAAAUGCUGUUGAGAGUAUAUUGGCUGAACGUGACAUCCUGAUCACAGUUCGAAAUCCUUUUGUGGUGAGUAAUCUCAAAAUCAUAAGUUUUUCUACACUCAAUACUAAUAUUUUGCUUUCACUUUCUUUUGUUUUUAUAAGGUACGUUUCUUUUAUUCCUUUACAUCUCGGGAGAACUUAUAUCUUGUUAUGGAGUACCUAAAUGGGGGAGACCUAUAUUCAAUGCUGAGAAAUUUAGGGUGCUUGGAUGAGGAUGUUGCCCGGAUAUAUAUUGCAGAAGUUGUAAGCUCAUUUACUCUGGUUUUCGGGUUUUCUGGUCUUUUUCCCCCAAAAAUUUUCCUUUAAAGUAGGAAUAAUAUUUUGCAGGUACUUGCUUUGGAGUACUUGCACUCUUUGCGUAUAGUUCAUCGAGAUUUGAAGCCUGACAAUUUGCUGAUAGCUCAUGAUGGUCAUAUCAAGGUAUUGGACUUAUCUAUUUUACGUCCUUGGAGAAAGUGUAAUAUAAGGAUUUAAGUUUCAAGGCACGGGGCCGGGUGCAGCACUGGUCGCUGUGGCUGGCCACCAUGCUGUGCCAUGCCGACAUGUUGACGUGGCUUGUGUGCUGCUCACAUUGCUAUCAGUGUGCCUACAAACUUUGUUAUCUUGAUACCAAUGUGCUAACACACUUUGAUAUCAGAAUUUUAUUUUCUAAUUAGGCACUGAUAUAUUGUAAUUAUUCUUAAAAAAGUUUUUAAUCAAAUCUUUGUACUCUAUUGGCAUGUCGACUUGCUAAUUUCAAAGAAAUUUUCUAAAAACUGUGCAAGAAUUCAUUACACUAGAGAUUGAAAUUUGAGUAGAAAGCCCAAUUCCCCCAAAUUAACUCUUCCAUUUUAAUUUUUAAUGGCAAUGUAUGGAUAAUGCUUAAAUGGAUAAAGCUAAAAGAUCUAGCCAUUUGUUAUCAGCAACUUCAUCAAAAAUUCAUUUGGGGAAACUAACAGUCAAAAUUUGGGGAAAUCAAGCUUCCCCAAAACUGACUCCUCAUUGCAUCAAAUUCAGAUCAUUAAAGAACGUACAUGGUAGCAUAAAAGAGUUCGAAACGACCUUCUAAAGUUAUUUUGUUGGUAAAUGUAAAAAUAAAAGGGUUGCGAGCUGUGCCAUUACCACGGCUGUCAUACUGUGCUAACACCCUGCCAUCACUGUAUGGAAUGGUGGGCAUGGCUGAUACCUGUGUCUAAAGCUUUGAUAUAAUCUUAAAAAAGACUUGAGAAACAAAAAUAAACACCUUCAAGCUGAUUAUAGUAAGAAUGCAAGGCCAACUCCAUAUGGAUAUUAUUUGUUCGCUAUUGUUUCAUUACCAGUAAAUUGUGCUUUGUGGGGUUUCCCAAGGAGUUUAGUGUUUCUUUUUUGACAACUUUUUAUACUUUCUAUAUGCUUUUUGUUCCCCCUGAAAAUCAUCUAAUAAAUAACUGCUUCAGUGACUACUAGAGUUUAUAUUUUAAAUUGGUUGACUGCAUGCAACUAAUCAUGUGUUUCAAUUUCAUCCUGUACCCACUAAUCUAUUUACAAGACAUCGUCUACAUUUGUUGGCUUACUUCGUAGUAUGCUCUAGAUAAUAGUUCAAUAUAUUAUGUUUCUAGAAGCUCUCUCUCUCCCUCUCUCCCUCUUCAUGAAUUCGUAUUGGCGAGCUUUUUCUUAACUUGACAAUAAUGGGCUUGGGGUUCAUUUAGAUUAUUUCUUGAUGGUAACGCUAAUGGAUCUGCCCUAUUUUACAUCAGUUGACGGACUUUGGCCUGUCCAAGGUCGGCCUUAUUAACAGUACGGAUCUAUCCGGUCCAGCUGUAAGUGGGACAUCAUUAUAUGGCGAAGAUGAACCUCAGAUAUCUGAAUCAGAGCACACAGAUCAACGAGAGCGGCGGAAAAAGCGUUCUGCUGUUGGCACUCCUGAUUAUCUGGCACCGGAGAUCCUCUUAGGCACAGGACAUGGUAUACAUAAUGCAAAAUUUUCCUCUAGUUUAUGUUAGCUUUAUCUUGGUUUAACUAUUUUUGCUGCCAACGAUGAUAAUGCUCUUUCUGCAUUGAUCACUGUAGGUGAAAGUGCAGAUUGGUGGUCUGUAGGUGUUAUUCUCUUUGAACUCAUUGUUGGGAUACCACCAUUUAAUGCUGAACAUCCUCAGGUUUUUUUUACGUGUCUCAUGCUUUUAAUUUUAUCUCUUUCAAUUGGACUGGUGUUGGAUGAUUAUAUUGCUGCUUAUGCUAAGGGGCCGUUUGGUUGGAUGUAGUUGCAAAAAUAGUGUAGUUGGAAAUACGUGCAAUUACAAAUGCUACAGUCGUAAAUACACCUAGUCUGUUUGGUUUUAUGCAGUUGCAACUAUGGCAGUUACAUUUCUUCUGUUUGGUAGGCUGAAGUUGAGAUUUGUAUUUGUGAUCUUUUAAUUAUUAAUAAAAACUUUAUAUAAAUAUAUAUAAUUUUUACAUAUUGUAAAAUUAUAUAUAUUUAUAGAUGAUAAUUAAUAUUAUAAAAUUAUAUAUUUAUAGAUGAUUGUAUGUAUAAAAUAUAAAACAAUAAAUAUCAAUAGUGAAUUUUAAAUUCAAACAUAUAAUAGAUUUGGUCAUAACAAAAGUAAGACAUUAUUGGACUAUGACGGCGCAGAUAAAACUGUAGCCGCUUCUGCGACGAGGUUUUUUGAGGGAAAAGAAAAAAAAAAGUGAAGCGUACGAAAAAAAAAAUCAUGCAUUGUUUUUGUUUUGAACGGGUGAGCCGACUUCAGUCCAACUGCUGCAGUUGCCUUCUCAUGCAGAUGCAACUAUAGCAGUUGGGCCUAACUACACGAAACCAAAAAAAAAUUUAUUGUUGCAUGCAUUUCCACUGCAGCUGGAAAUGCAUGCAACCAACGGCCCCUCAAUGUAUAAUUGCAUGCAACCAAACAGCCUCUCAAUGCAUGCAAUCAAACAGCCCCUCAAUGUAUAAUUGCUGUCUUAUAAGCUAUUUUUAUUUUUUCAUAUAAGUAGUCCCUGUUUUAUUAGCAUUUGUAUUAGCACAUGCAUCUGCAAUUCUCUAGGUUUUUUUGGUUUCUCCUUUUUUUUUGGAGAACUGUUGUCCCAAUAAGAGUUUUAUAGAACUAAUGGAAGUCCCAAUUUUAUUAGCAUUUUUAUCAGCACAUGCAAAUGCAUUUAUCCAGUUCUUUUCUGUACCCUGUAGUUUUUCUAAACAGUGUGUGACUAAUUACUGUUCUAACAUGCAGCCGCUUUUUAGGGCUCUCAAUCUAAUUUGUCUGUGAGAGGCUUAUUUUCGCUCAUAAUUUGGCUCGAGCUUUACUCAUUUAGGACACGGGUUGACACGAGCUCAAGCAAGGGUCAACGCUUGUGUUUGGUCCUUUCACACUAGUAGCUUCUCUGGCUCCUUGGACAGCCACCAUAAUAGAAAUCCAAUCUCACCACCACGCUUUCUUGGCGAUACAUCACGUUUAUCUGUAGAGUUGUUACUCAGACCCAGUCAGCUGGCAUCAACCUUGCCCUUAAAACUAGACGUGGACAAGGGGUCCCCAUUAUCAUAUAAGCAUGUAAGAUGAGACUUUAAUAAGAUAAAACUUCAAAAUUUUUGGUUCAGAUCGGGGUUUGGUCUAUGUAAGCCCUGCCCGAGUCUAAAUAGAUUUUUCUGCCCGUUCCUUUAAUUUUAUAAAUAUUGAUGGGAGUUAUUUAAUAUAUGGAAUGUCUUUAUUAAGUAAUAUGCAUUAAUAGUAGGCCCCGUCUGGAUAGCUAGUUAAAAUAUUCCAUGGAGUAUAUAUUUUGUGGUUUUCUCCUGAUUGGAUUUAGGGAUUCCAUGGAAUCCUAUAGGGAUUCUGUACUAUAUUUUAUCUCUAUUUGGAUGCUAACUGCAGAAUUUCAUAGUAAUUCUGUCAAAUUAGUUAAAAUUACUAAUAAAAAAAGCAAAUUUGUCAAACAAAUAAAUCUCAAUAAGCUAAAUCAAAUUGAACUGCAUUUAGAUCCUAUUUUGUUUCUAAUCAACUAAUCAAAAAAACUGUCUAGAAAUUAGCAAAUGGAGAUCAAAUUUCUAAUCAAAUUAAAAUAAAUAUAUACUCCGUUUUAUUAGUGUUUAGGGUUAUAUGUUAUAAUAGAGUUAUAUUGCACAUUUAAUAUGUUAUAUUGGGCAUAUAAUAAAGUUAUAUGCUUAUUGUUUUUCAUAAUUGUUACAUUUUACUACCUUUUUUUUUCCCCUGAAGAGAGAAGAUAUUGAUAUUCCUUCUUAACAGUAGAGUUAUUUACGGUGACAUGACUUUAUAGUUAAUGUCUAUUUUGGCUUUAAGCAAGUAUAUUUUUAUUGAAGAUUACAUGAAGCAUAUACAGAGCUAACAUUUUGCUUUUGAAGCUACUUGAGAACAGAAUUUGAAACAAAUAUUUGAUGCCCGUCUUAGAUUUAUGUCACCUACUUUGGCAUCAGCCUGUCAUCUUCUUUGAAACGUCCCAACUCCCAACUCUUAUAUUCCCACUUUGCUUUUUCUUUUUCUCUUUCUUUUUUUGUGGAAAUUGAUACAUGGUCCCUUCUUACGAGGAAGUCAUGUUGCAUCUUGGAUAAGUUUCCUGUAAAAUAAAGAAAAGCCAAUUGGAUGUUUGGUUACUACUGUUAUUAAUAUCUGAAUAGAUCUAAGGCAAAUGACCACUUAAGUUGUGUUAACUAAUGUGCAAAUACAUUUAUAACUCAUUCUAAAUUUAUUAUUUCAGAUUUCUCUAAAUUAUAGUGAUUAUCCUUUUAAAAAGUUAAGAUAAUGUGAGCAGUGAACACCAGAUACAAUGCCUCUUGGAGGUGGAUGUUUAGUACCUCCAUAUACCAACUGAAAAGCAUUAUUUUCUUGUCAUAUGUCACAUUAAAAAGUUCUCAUGUAUUUGGAAGACUCCAAUUGCUUGUGUAUUGUGAUGAUUGUGUAGUUAUAAAACCUUAAUGAUGGGAAGAUUUGGGCUUCAGGGAUAAUAACGAAGUUGCAAAGAUACGAUACAAAUAGAUAAAAAACUUCUUAAGUUCUUGUGGAUUGUAUCUUGACUAGAAUGAGUGGCAGCUUGAGAGAACCAAACCAAAUUGUGUAAUUAAUCUCCAAGUAAAAUGACCUCUCAAAUUGUCCUGUCACCUCCCCCCCACCCGCCNACUGAGUUUUCUGAAGCCUCUCAUCUUAUAAUUUAUAAGUUGAAUUAUGAUAAACAGCUGAGUAGCUUGUAUGGUCUUGUUUGUAGUCUCUAGACACACGGCAAUAUACCUUAGUAGCUUGUGUUAUUAUGAAGUUCGAAAUUUGUUUAUUUUCCAUUCUUUAAGAUUCCAUUUAUCUUGUUUUGUUGAUAAUGUAGAUUGCAGUAAUUUCAGUGAGUGGUGAACAAUUUUCUCUUUCUCGCUUACUAUCUUUUAAGCAAUGAACUUCUUACUGUUCUUUUUUUUCUUUUCUUUUUUUUCUUUUUUUUUUUUUUUGCCUUGUAGACAAUUUUUGACAAUAUUCUAAACCGUAAGAUACCUUGGCCUCAAGUACCUGAAGAGAUGAGCUAUGAAGCCCAAGAUCUAAUCGACAAGUAAGAAAUUAGUCUUGUGUUUAUUAUUUUAUCUGAUUUAGUGGCAUGGUCAUCUAUUGUCUCCUUUAUUAUUAUUAUACAAGUUCUCCAUUUAUUUUGUGAAUGAAGUUUUUUAAACUUAAUCUAACUAGUUUGAUGUUUCUAUAAUUCUUUUGCAAGUUUGUCAUUUACAGCCACAUAGUUGCAUCGUUUCUUCAAUAUAAGCUUCUUUCGCAUGGCUACAUUGCAGAAAAUUGAUUUCUUGCAUUUCCGCCUGCUCCUACAAUGUGUUCCACCAUUGAAAAUUUUAUUAUUAUGGGCAAUGCUUGUUAUAAUUAGCUGAUUUGUAUUUCAGAAAAUGGGACUCGAAGUUUAUUUACUUGAACAAUCUAAUGUUAGAUACUUAAUUACCAAACUGAAGCAAUUUUCAUGUUUUAUUUUUUUCCUUUCUUUAUUGUAGGCAGAGGAAUAUUAACUAUUAAGAUUGGUUCAUUCAUGAAAUUCUAUAGCAACCUUUAUUUGGUAUAUGCAUGAUUGUCUCCGAUUAGGACUUAGGAUGUUCUUAUUGAUAAGACUACAAAAAAUUAAAUAGAUGUUCUUAUUGAUAAGACUACAAAUAAUUAAAUAAGUACUCACUUCGAUGUCUUCCUCAUCAUAUGCUUGAAUAAGUACUUACUUCGAUGUCUUCCUCACCAUAUGCUUGAACAAGAAGUUGAACUAAAUUCACUUCAUGGUGUGCCACCUGCGGCCUGCUGCUGCUUUUGGAAGCACCAUAUGGUAUCAGAGAAGUAUCUAAGUGUUUCUCCAUUUGCCACCUGCUAUCCUGGGCCACAAAACUGUGCACGUGCUGCAUGCAGAAGAACACAUUUGAUCAAGAAAGUGUAUUCAGUAUUCUCCUAGUAGCUUUUGGAAUAUUUAUUCUUUUUGGAUUUGCAGGAUAAUUGGGCCAUCUAGUUUAUCAUAUGGGUUCUUAUUUGAUGUCUGGAGAUGAUAUGUAAGCAUGGGUGCUGAAACUUGGUUUCCUAGUUAUUUCAGUAUAUGAUUUAGUUGGACAUUGUGUUUCUUGUUAGAUUGUCCUAUAUUUAGGCCUUUUAAGUCAUAUUGCACUUCCAUUUGAAGUUAACAAGGGUUUGAGAGGACUACUAGUUAAUGGCUUUUCUUGGCAGUAAGGGUUUAAGGAGGUAGAAAUUAGAACAUCGAAAAGUGCCUCACCUUCUUUCCUGCUUGGACCCUUAAUCUGCAAAAAGCUCCUUAAUAAUACUUUUUUAUUUUAUUUUUUUAUCUCAGUGAAAUUUUCAUAGGUAAUCAACAAGUCUCAGAAUGUUCUCCUGUUCAGUAAACUUUAAAUCUGUAAUCAACUGAUUGCGGCCACGACAAUUACUCUUAAGUCUCAGUUAAGUCUUUCCUCGUAUAUGAGAAUUAACAGCCCCGACUGGAAGAAUAGGCAAAGGUUCUUCUCCAUGGGCUUAUUCAUUUGAAAGCAGUCUACUUAGGCCAAUUGCCAAGAGAUAGUUAAUUCAAGAUCGGAUUACUGGUUUGGCAACAGAUGGAGAAAGAAUGCAAUGUCAUAUUUUGUUGGACAUAACGCUAUAUGGAUAUUUUGAGAAAGCACUACUUGAAAAACUACUAAGCAAAAUUGCAUCCAAGUAUGAUAUCUAUGUAUCUAUUACAAUAGAAACUAUAGCUGUUACUUGUAAUUUGUAAACUAAACAAUUGCAAGAAACUGUUAGUAGAUUAUAGACAGAAGUUUACUAUGUUGAAGAAGAGUUAAGAAAGUGCGUCCACAAAUUGUAAUAUUUGUCAGCUCCAUCAACCCACAAAGUUACAUUUACACUCAACAAUCAUCAGAGAAGGAACCAUCUUUACCCAUUAUCCACUAGGAUAAUGAAAUUACCUUUUGUCUCUUUUAACUUUCACUUUUUGCUUGUUCGUUAGUAUUACUGAAAAUUAGUCACCAUCCUAGGAAAAUGAGCGUGAUUGCUUUUUGUUUUUUGUUUUUUUUUUCUGAAGUAGGAUACUUAGAACAGUAUCUUCCAUAUGUCCUGUAAAGUAUUCAAAAAAUGUUGCAGUCAGUAUGCACAUGGCUAGGGUAUUAAAAUAUCCAUGCUUCAUAGGUUAUGAUCAUAUUCUGCAAUAGCUUGUAUAUUUGUCAAAAUCUUAACUGUUAAGAUCUUUGCUUCUAUGCCUAUGGCCUUUCUCUUAAGAAAAAAGAUGUCCAUUUCUAUAUAUUGACUUCAUUUGCACUUUAGAAUGAAUGAGCUCACAAGAAAUACUUCAAACAAAUUGAAAAACUUAAAUAGCAGACUGGACAUUUAGAACAUAAAUUUGGAACAAUCUAAACCUUGGAAGUUCUAUUCCUACUCAUAAUCUUGUUCUCUAUUAGUUUCUAAAAAGCUAUCAAAAGUGAUUACUUCGGUGAAUUCUGUAUGGCUGUAUUUCAUUUUGCUGAUAACUUGCUUGAAUACCUUUCUGUAAAAGAGCAAAUCCUUGCCUAUCAUUUUCAGCCCUAACUUUCUUCUUACUAGUAGGAUGAGCUAACUAGGUCGAUAAAUGCUGAAUUCUGUAAGCUAGGAUUUGUCUGAUAUCAGCACUAAUAUAAUAUGAACUUCUGUUGCAUUUCGCUAAACAUUUUACCAAGUCAAAGCAGCUUCUGUUAUGUGCAUAUAAUAUUGUUUUCACAGCCAUGCAAUUCUAUGUGCAGCUAUCUAUCUCUGAUGUUAAAAUCUAGAUGAUGAUGCAAUUUAGCUUCACCUAAUGAUCAUCAAUAUUCAAUGACUUCUUCAUCUUUAACUUCCAUGCAGAUUAUUGACAGAAGAUCCUCAUCAAAGGCUUGGAGCCCAAGGUGCAUCAGAGGUAUGUUUGUGCUAUAACAAGUUCAAGCAGCACUUUCAUCAAAAGAAAUGUGCUGAAAUUUAAGAUCUGUAUCUUUAAUUCUUUUUUGAUAAAUUUAACCUAUAUGUCAUUAAUUCUCUAAAAAGAGCUUUUCUUUCAGGUGAAACAGCAUGUCUUUUUCAAAGAUAUUAGCUGGGACACUAUAGCAAGGCAGAAGGUGGCAUAAACUGAAAUGACUUGCUUUCUUCCAAGAUAAUAUUGGUUGCAUGUUUUUCUGUUUUUGAUUAAGAAAUAUCUCAAGUCCUCCUUUUACAGGCUGCAUUUGUUCCCUCUUCAGACAGUGCACUUGAUACUAGCUAUUUCACUAGCCGUUACUCUUGGAAUCCAUCAGACGAACACAUCUAUGAAGCGAGUGAGUUUGAGGAUUCCAGUGAAAAUGGAAGUGUUAGUGGGAGUAGCAGUUGUGUAAGCAAUCGCCAAGAUGAAGUGGUACGAUCCCUACCAAAUGAAACUUAGGAAUCUUGUUCUGCUAACAGUUUCUUGCCGUAAUUCUCGGAUCAAACAAAUAAAAUGAUAAAUGUUUCAAUUGAAUUAUUACUAAUGUUCUGAUGGCAAUAGAUUUUUGUAUUCUUUUUCUCUUUUGCUGGAAAGUGCCUAAACUUAUUAAUUUGCAAAUCAUGACAAACAGGGGGACGAGUUUGGAGGGCUUGCUGAGUUUGAGUCUAGCUCAUCUGUCAAUUAUUCAUUCAGCAACUUUUCAUUCAAGGUAAAUAGACAGCUCACGAAUAUAAAAGUUUUCUCUUCUGUACAUCUGUUAAUUCUAUAUUUGAGGCACAAACAACUAUUGGUUAUACAUGAAUAUGUAUGUUUCAAAUAUCUUUUUCUGUGUUACGAUAAGCAUUACAGUCCUCUUUGAGGAGUUGGAAUUAUGUAGAAAGAGGAGAUAUCUUUUUGCAGAGUGAGUUGCUCUCAAAAUUAAUAUACUUAGUCGGAAAACAUUGACAUUAAAUUUCCGUUAGCAGUAGAACUCUCUUCCCACUUGUUUGAGCCUUUGUUCAAUUAUCCCUAUGUACUGUGACAAAGAUGGUCUGAUGUCUUAGCAAAGAAGAGACAAGGGUGAGAAGAAACUUGACAUGAAAUCUAAACUCACUGAAACAUUAUCCUUUUAAGAAGAUUUACGAUAAUUAGUAUCACAACAGCGGCACUCUCUACUUAGCUAUAAAGUGUGCAUUGAGAUAAAUAGCUAAAACAACAUCAAUUCUAGUGCAUAAACUGAGGUGGAUUAGAGUUUUAACGUCCUUAUAAUUAUUUUCUUUAUAUGUUGGAAAGUUGGAUCCAAUCAUGGGCUGACUAUUGGAUCUACUUGUUGUAAUGUCUUCCCAUAAAGUUAUGCCCUUUAUUUUUGGGUGAAAAAGAAAAGUAGUUUUCGGAUCGGCAAGUCUUCUUUAUUUUAUAUUCAAUAGAAAGUUCGGAGUUAUUAAGUGAUUUUUCUUACUAAACUUGAUGAUAUAUACCAUUUAGAUCAAAUUUACUACCUAUGAGUCGGCUAGUGUGCCAAUUGUGCUACUAGCAGGGUGCAGUGGCACGAACCAUGCUAAUGCCGAUUAGGUAUGCCUUGUGUCAUUGGCGUGGCGAUCCUUGUCAAGAUAAUAAUAUCCCAGAUGCUUGUCAGUCUUUUGCAACUAGGGUUGACCAAACUGCUGGCUGCAGAUCAAAAUUCGGAUAAAAAAAGAUCAGUGAAGUAAAUAAUUUGCAUAAGAAAACAAAAAUCUCUCUAGAAAUUAGCUAGUGUACCAUAGAGGAGCUGCUAAAGUGGCAAAACUUCGAGAAACAAAAGAAAGUAUGAUAUUUUUGAGACAUUACGAGGCUUAAUUGUGUAAUAGAUUUAUCUGGAAGAAAAUUAAAACUACAGAUUGUUGUUCAUGUAUACCAGGUUCAUGGAGGCUUUCAAAAAUAAUUUGAAUCAAGUCCAGAAAAGCCUUGAAAGUUUAGAAUCUUUUGAAUUUGCAAACUAUACCUCAAGGGCCACACAGAAGACUAGUUUUCUACUUUCAUUAUGAGAAUGUUAUAAAAACAAAAGAUACCAACACAUACUCUAAGCCAAAUGACUUUAUAUUGAUGGAUGCUGAUAGAAUCCCAAAGUGAAAGUUAUUGGAAGUUACUCCUCUUAUUCACUAUAAUCUACUAAAUGUUCUAUUGCGAAUCGCAUGUUAGGAGAUAUCAUCAAAUAAACAUCUAGAGGCACCUGCUAUAUUAGUAAGAAACUUUACUAUGCAGAACCGCAGAAUUUCUGAGCUACAUCUGUUUGAUUUUUGUCGCACCUGCAUGCUUUGUCCCUUCUGUACAUUCCUUCUAUAUGUAUACUGUACUGUAAAAUCAGCCUAGUCAUCUCGUUAAUGCUUUCAUCACUCCAUUAAAAGAUAACUUGGCAAAAUCUUGAAUGUUGUUGUAUCUAUUCAAAACAGUGAUAGGAGAGUUUUUCAUGCGUGACUUUGUGCUUCUUUGCGGGAAAAAAACAAUCUUAUUCCUGCUUAUGCAUCCAGGACCUUUAUGCUUAAAAAAUGUGAAAAUGUUCUCUCCAUGCUAUGUUCGUAUCUUAUGCUGGCAUUACAAUUUUUUAUUAACUCAUUAUGUGCUAAUUGGUAAACUCCAUUAAGUGCUUUUUCUAUUUGUACUUUGCCUUUUCUAGAGGGUUCCUUAGCUCCGAUAGGAUUAUUUCACUUUGCAUGCAGAGAUCCCAUCCUGGUAUAUUUUAACAUUAUUCUGUGGGAAGAACAUUGAUAAAAAAUUGAAACCAAAACAACUUGAAAUCUAUCCAUUUCGUUGUCACUUGAUUUCCGAAAAUUCAUCUUAAGCUGGUGUGAUUAGGAGUAAUUUUGGCAUAUAGACCAUACUCUGUGAUGGCUUUGUUCUUGAUUAAGAUUUUUAUUGUGUGCUUCCAUAUCUUUAUAUUCUUGAGUUUAAACUUGUUCCAUGCCAUUCAAAUUGAGUUCUGUUAAAUCUCUUUUGUAACCUUGAUCUCUUAACUUUAGAAAUACUUUUUUAGAUGCGUAGGUACACAACGUUAAAAAAUUAUAUAAGCUCAUUUUUCUAAUAUAACUUCUUAUCUAUCAUCAUGGUCCUAAUGCCUACGGUUUCGCUGCUUAAUUGGACAUUUGGACCACAUGUAAACAGCAAAAGCCUCAAUGAAAAUUGUCUUCAUGGAUCAUUAUCUUUAUUCUGCUUUAAUAGCUGAUUAAAUUGCUUCUUUCCCCUUUUAUUUUCAUUUAAAUUCUCCUUCUACUUUGAAUUGGAUAUAUACAGCUUGUGUGCUUUCAAAAGUACGGAGGCCUCUAUGCUAUUGAAUUAUUUUCGAUAAUAGGACGUCCGAUUCGAUGAUCGGCUUUGUUAGACAUGAUCUAUACUAUUAAAACUAUCUAGAAACCAAAUUUUAUAAUUUUUCGCCAUCAUUUGCCAAGUGAUCGAAAUAAUCUAAAAAAGGGCUAUUUUAAUGGCCGAUGUAGCACGUUUGUAAAUUCAACAGUGUAAAACAAUCAAAAUUAGGUGAAAUUUUAAUAGAAAAUUCCCUUUUACCAUCAAAAGCAAGAUCAAUACUUCUAAUUUGAAAUUUGUGUAUUCUACUACUGUUUUUUAUGAGUUUUUUAUUUUCAAUCAUUUAUUUUGAGACUGUUUGUUCGCUAGGCAAAUGAAGUUAAAAAAUAAUAAAAUUUGGUUCUAAUAGGGUAGUUUUUGUCUAACGGAGCCGAUGAUUGAAUCGAAUGUCCUUUUAUCGAAAACAAUUUUAAAGCAUAGAGGGCUUUCGAAAGCAUAUUGUUCUAUGUAUAUAUAUAUAUAUAGAGAGAGAGAGAGAGAGAGAGAGAGAGGUGCUAUUAAUAGCACCAAGCAUUUGAUGCUACCAACUUUUUCACUAUUAGAACUACCUCUUUGACUAUUUCUGCCCUUUAGAUCAUACUGUUCCACCAAUCACUAAAUCCUAGGAUGACCACUAUCAUCAUAACCCCACAACCCUUCAUUCAAGGGCCAAAAAAUCCUUAAGCACUAAUGAUUUAGUACUAUUAGAAGCAUUCCAGCCAAGUUCUAUAUGUGUGUGUGUGUGUGUGUGUGUGUGUGUGUGUGUUUGAUAUUGCAAUUAAAUCAUUCUUUAUACUAUUUUUCUGACCAUGUCAACAAAAUAACUGGACUGCAUUUCUGGUGAUAGAAUCUUUCCCAGCUUGCAUCAAUCAACUAUGAUCUGCUCAGCAAGGGCUUGAAAGAAGAUCUACCACCAAAACCAGGAAGUUGAAAAAGCAGUUCUGUCGGAAGUUUCUCAUUGAUUCAAAUUAAGCAGGAACCAUAAAGCACUUGAAAUGGAGCUUGUACAGCUUGUAAAUGUAAGCUUAUUACUUUAGCUCUUCAGUUUUGACUAUAAGGGCAUGUUUGGUUCAUGACUGAAAUGGAAAUGGGAAAUGGAAUCGGAUUGCAUUGAAAUAGAAAAUGGAAUCAUCCAAAAAUGUUUUGUUCAUUAUUUGAAUGGAAAUCGGAAUGAACAUCUAGGGUUUUGAGAGAACGUUUUGGUUAAAAGAGACUGAUGAUGUGAGAGGAAGGGGAGGUGUUUUUGAGAGAAGGAUUUGAGUGGUUUAUUUUGGAAUGAGUCAAUUCUGAAUUCAAAGCUGGAUUAAGUUAUAAAUAGAUUUGGCCAUUCCCAUUCCAGAGUGGAAUGGAAAUCGAAAUUCAAUUCUAGUAGAGCAAAUAAGAACUAUUGGUAUCAAUGAAUUUCAUUCCGAUUCCAUGGUGUAAAAUAGGGGACCCAGGCAAGCCCUAAGAGUUUUAUUAAUUCUGGGUUUACGUUAGUUCUUCCAGUUUCGUGUUAAUUCUGGGUUCUCUUUUUUUUUUUCUUUUUCUUUUUUUUUUUUUUUUUUGUUUCCCUCAGAUUGGAGCUCAAGACACAUGGCAAAAGCCUUUCUCCUCUCCCUAAGCUGCAGCAUUGUUGCGUGAAGUUGACCUACACUUUUAGCACCCAUGGUCUUGCGUAUUAGUGUUAUCAUUCACGGCAACAAGAGACAGCCUUGGCCAUCAUUUUUGUCCUUUUUGUGCUGAUGUUUUUACAGGGUAAGAUGGAUUAGCCUUAGAUUCUUCACCACCCCCAUCUUCCCUUAAAGCCAAGUGAGGUCAUGGUCCAUGUUUCUUUAAAAUUGAGGGAGAAAUAGAGAGAAAAAGAGAGGUAGGCUUUCAUUAUCCGGUUCUUGGCAUUGGAUGGAACAAAUGGUUAUUGAAGGUAAAAGGAUUCAGUUUUCCAUUUGGUUGAUCAAUUUUUGUGUUGCGCUUUAUGCUAUGUACCCUUCAUCUUUAUUCUUUGUUGGUGAAAUGUAUGGAGGCCACCUCAACUACAUAGCCCAUUCUGACAUAUAGACCCCCCGAAGUACUACCCUUUGUCAUUGAGAGAGGCCCCUCCUCUACUUUUGAUUAUUUCGUACAGAGAAAUUUUAGCCAGUUAAUUUGGAGAUUUUACGGAAUUGAUCGACUAUUUUAUCAGAAUUAAUUGAUUGAAUCCGCUAGAUUGAUUAACUUCUAAUAGUUAAUUAAGUGACUAAAUUAAUAAAAUUUUAACUUAAUGGGCUAUAAAUUUUAAUUUUUUUUUUAAAAAAAAAGAAAUCGGGGGGUUGUUAAUUAAAAGAAUUAAUCUAUUUCGAAAUGGCGCAGAGUUGAGGGGGUCUUCAUGUAUUUCUAUCCUUGUUUAGCUUUUACUGUAGCUUUAUUUAGGAAAUAAUUUUCGAUCUAAUCUUGUUGUGCUGAUUUGGAAAAAGAGACAGUUAAUUUUUUUUUAUUUUUUUUAUUUUUUAUUUUUUUCUGUUGACGUCACUGGCUGCAGUUUCGCUGCUGCUGCCGCCAUAGCCAUGCCACCUGUUAUCGCCGAUGGUGGUGUUUCCGCUGCCACCCUACCCUCUCUAGCGCCCCGUCUUCCCAUCCCUUUAUCUCCUCUUCCCAUCUCUCCCUCUUUCUGCUUUCGUUUUUCCUACUAGUCCGUCAUCGUCGUCUCGCCACCCCCUGCCGCCGCCGCCGCUCCUGUGGCGCCAGUCGCCGCUCCAUCCCUCUCGUCGUUGCCGCUCACCGUCAGCCACCGCACGCUGCUGCACAACCCAUUUUGUGUUCGCUCUUCCAUCAUCAUCAUCAUCAUCAUCAUCAUCAUUGUAGUGAGCUAACGACGAAAUCCUUACUAUUAAAAUACUAAUCACACUAGUAAACAAAUGUGACGUAUCUAAAUUAUCCACAAUCAAGAUAUGUUAGAUUAGAGUAAAUGAAGUUGAAAGAAAAAUAUCCUAACACAAUAACAACAAUACAAGAGGAUUUAUGUGGUUCACCCAAAUCAGGCUACAUCCACGGGCACGAAAAGGAUUACAAGAUUUGGUUAGAAAUUACCACUCUAUUAUAAUGGACUUGUGACCUUCUAAUUAAGAAAAUCUUUUUUGCUAUACAUUCAUCUAAGCACCUUUUAAAUCCGCAAAACCCGCUUUGAAAUGCCUCUUAGAAUUUCUCUAAUCAACCUGGAAGCUUUUGAAUCAAGCAAGAAAAACAAGAGAGCUAUUUCUCCAACCCUCUCUACACCUCUCUUCUCUAUCUCAAGAAAAGGAAAAUCUAGAGAGCAACCCAAAGAGAUUCUCUCUUAACAUUACUUGGCCCAAUAUACCAAAUAGGCCAACUAAAGUCCAAACCAAUUAUUAACUAGCCCAUUAGUCCAAACCAAUUAUUAACUAGCCUAUUAUAUGAGUUGUUGAACUAAAUCUAAAAUAAAUUAAUUAGGCUAAUAAUUGAAUUUGAUGUCACUAACCCAACAAUCAUUAUCAUCAUAAUUACUAUUAUUAUAAUGCCGGUCACCUCGCAAUGCCGCCGCCUCGCCGUUAGCCUGCGGGGCCUAUAAUUUCUAUGUUAGUUUCUUGCCACCAUGAAUAAGAAGACUGUAGCGGCACAAUACUUUCCAACAUCCAAAGAGCAGUUCGCCUUUUUCUUUUUUUUUUUUCUUUUUUUUUUCUUCUUUGCAUGCCGUACAUGCUGAAACUUUUUUUUUUUUUGUUUUUGUUUCUUCUUUGCAUGCUGUAUGAUUUCGAUUUUUGUACCCCAUUUGUAGGAGGCGAUUUUUUGCUCGUGGUUCAUCAUCGUUCACGAUCUGCAAGAAAACGGAACGUUUCGAGUCUAAUCCCUUAUUCCCGGAGAUUGAGCCGUCACAGAAAAUUGAAUUAGAAUUAGAUCUGAACUCCCGUAUGUUAUAUAUUUAUAUAUAACUUAAUAUAAGAAUAUUAAAUCACAUUCGCCCAUCAAGGACGUGUCCAUAUACAUCCUAACCGUUAUAUCUACCAUAUUUUUAUAGAUCAGUUUGAAUAAACCGACUGUAUUUUUAUAGAUCGUUUUGAAUAAAUCACAUAGGCCACAUCCAAUAUUAUCUCACUUGGCCUAGUGAUAUAUUUAUAAAACACCACCACAAAAUAAAUUUCUUUUCUCGUAUGUUAGAAAUUAAUCGGUACAUCACAAAAACGUAGCGGAAGGUAAUUUUUUAUUUUAAAAUUUUUCAGAAGCUAAAUAUAUAUCACAUAUGAAAAUCAAAAUCUAAGAAAUUAAUCUAGUGCCAGCAGAUUAUUCUUAUAUUAUUAUGCAAAAAAUUUAAUCUAAAUAAAAGCUCUUUAUAUUUAGUGAUCUUAUCGUGGAUCAGUUAAGAUUUCUUGAUUUACUGUGCGGUAGGUAGUAUAUGUUUCGAUCAUUAAUUUAAGGUUCUGUUAUAGCUGCACACGUGUUCGACCUCUACGCGCAUACACACAAAAUCCACGCAUACCCGAUCGAUUCUCAUCUCACGAACCGGAUGAGUUGUGAACCAUUUGGACGAUACUAGCAAUCCCUUCAUGAUUUACCAGCCGACGAAGAAUAGAGAAGUUGAUCGGAAAAAGAUACGUGCGUGGCAGACAAAUCGAAAAGUGAUUGAUGUUAUAUGCGUAUACAUACAAAAUCCUCAAAUUAAUUAAGGAGCAUGGCACUUUAAUUAAGGUAGACUUUCAAUCUUAUGGCACUAUGUGCCGUACGGCUUCUGCCCUUUUUAAAAAUUUUUUUUUUUAAUCUCACAACUUUUUGUACGUAUACAUUUACACCUAUAUGUACAUAUAGAAAUCCAUUUGGUAAAAUCUUAUCUAAUAAGAUUUUCUCUCUUCAAUAAAAUUAGGAAAAACUUCAAAUAUCCUCUCUGUGGUUUCACUUUUUCUCACUUUAAUAUCCUGUGGUUUAAAGUGUAUCAAGUUAAUACUCUGUGGUUUUGUACUUUCUCACUUUAGUACCCUGUGGUUUCAAGUGUAUCAAGUUAGUAUCCUGUGGUUUUGCACUUUUUCACUUUAAUAUCCUGUAUUUUAAUAUUUCAUUAAGAGAAAAAUAAAAUCACAGGAUACUAACUUGAUACAAAAAUAAAACUACAGAGUAUUAACUUGAUACACUUUAAACCACAGGGUACUAAAGUGAGAAAGUGCGAAACCACAGGGUACUAACUUGAUAUAUUUUAAACCACAGGGUAAUAAAAUGAAAAAGUGCGAAACCACGGGGGGUUUUCGAAGUUUUUCCAUAAAAUUAAGUAAUUAAAUAUUCAUACUUAUCUAACUAAAUCAAAUCCAGGUAAAAUCUUAUCUUAUAAGAUAUUAUGAAUAUUUAAUUAUUCUCUAAUCCAAUUAGAGAUAAAUAUUAAUUUACUUCGUAUUUAAUUAGAUCUUAUCUAAUUUUAUCCUUAUCUAAUAAGAUUAUUUACUAAAUAUUUAAAUCUCGUUUAAGUAUCUUUUAUGAUUAAAUAUUAUCCACUAAUCCAAUUAGGGAUAAAUUUAAAUCUCGCACAUAAUUUUCAAACUGAUUCUAAGAUACUAAUCUAAUUAGGAUUGUCAGUAAUAACUGACUUGAAUAAUUAAAUCUAAUUUAAUUAACCAGCUUUCUCUUGUUUUCAUCGCUUACACUAAACUCUUUAGUGAACGACUCUCAUCCAAAAGAUUCGAGUGCACACAAUUCCUAAUGCGUAUGAUCGCAUAGGUUCAUUACCAUUCAGCAGUGAAGCUCAACAUCAAACUUCUUGAUAUUUAGUUAGAACUCUUCUAAUCGAUAAAUAAUAAUAAUUCAAUUCAAAUCAUUCAUAUUCUCUCACCGUCCGUGAGCACUGAGUAACACCAAGCAGUAUAUCACGACAAUCCAGAAUGGUGGUAACGAAUGAAUCCUUCUGCUUACAGUUGCCGUGUGACUAAUUCCUUCCAACAUACAAUGUCCCAAUCGAAUUAAGAUCAUGGUUACUCGUCAAACCUUAUCAUUAGACUAUAUGAUUAGAAUAUUUGAAAUCAACUCAAUAUAAUAAAACAAUUGGAAGCUCUUUUCACAUACAAUGUACCUAGGCCAGGGAUUUUCCGAGUCAAGUCUGAUAAACUGUAUAGAACAUUCUCCAUCAUCAUUGAGAGUAUUGGAUUUCUUAUUUCUCAUUUAUAUGCCUCACCGCAUAAAUCACUACAGUCAAUCAGUACCGAAUAUAGACCCGUGUCCAGAGUCUAAAUAUUAGGACUGUCAAAUUGUAGCAACCUAUACGUGAAAUAACUAUAAUGCCUCAGAUCUGAGGAGUAUUUCACACAAUUGUAGUAAUAAACUUAUCACUGGCAAGCAUGAAACAAUAUGACUGUUCAACUAAAUAGUCACACUAAGUGUACUUGUUCUCUAGCAAGCACCUAUAUGCUUGUUUUAGUGUCCUUACAUUAGUGACUUGAGAUUCGUCACCUCAAUUAGAAACAUAGUAUACUGCGGCCUAUACGAAAUAUUACCGUCCCUGUAAUAUUUCUCUGGCUAAGAGUAUUUAAAAAGUCUCGUACAAAAAUAUACAUAUCUCAAAUUUCUAUGUCACGCCCCGGGGUCCCUUUUAGUUUAAAACAUAGCGGAAAAGCGUCUGAAUUUUUUUUUUUUUUUUGAAAAGCCUGACCCCAGAGUAUGCCAGAUCCGCCACAAACACAGGGAAUCCACUGUUCACACGGACAGAGUCUCCCCUAUAUUUGCACGGCGUCACACAAGUACAAGAANUCAACAGAGAGUUUAGUUGCACUGUCAAAAAAUCUCAGUCCUUACAUUCUAACUCUUAGAAAUAUGCCUUUUUAAACAAAGACUCUAUGGACGAUUCCUACCAAUAUUGCAUAGAUAUGAAUAGAAUAUCUGUUCUCAUAUUAUGAAUUAUAAAUGAUUAAUAUAUAAAUACCCUUAAGCUAGUAUCACCAGAUUGGCUUUUGGACAUAUAACUAACAAUCUCCUACUUACAAUAAAGCCAAACAUUCACAUAUUUAUAUGCGUCAUUUAAAGUCAACUCUUCAACCCUUAGAGAGUAAACUUUUUAACUAGUGCAUCCAUUGAACUAUUCAUGAUUAUUAUUUUCUACUUAGCAAUAUUAUUGGAAGUAUAAAUCAUUUCCAUCCACAAAAUAUGUCUCGAUCAUUGAUGAGAUCUAGACUCUAUAUGAACCAUAUCGAGUUCUAAACUCCAUGAAUCAGAAUAUAUUCUUUAGAACAUCUCAUGCAGUGCCACACUUAGCCCACAUGAUAUCUUGUUCGAACUCUUCAAGCAAUAUCAACUUUAAUGAAAUCUCUCUUUUCUCUCUUCAGUGUCAAUGCUUCACAAGUAUCAAGUAAUAUCUAUCAUUAACAUUUACUGUAUCAAUCGUCGUACAUAGAAUAAUAUAUGUGUAGGUUCUAAAUAUCGAAUCAUAAAGGAUCCUAUAUAAGUGUAUCCUUUCUUACAAUAUCACACAUACUGUUAGAGACGACUUCCUCCCAAAGGAUAAUAAUGUCUCUCGUUAGAAUUCAAUCUUAUUGAUCUCUUCAACAUAAUCUUCUAUGGACGUAGUUCAAGCAAUUUAUCAGACCUAUCUCUAUAGACCCGUAUUCUUCAUAUGAAAAUAUAUAACUAGAUUUUUCAUCGAGAAGUUCUUGACAAUCAAUAUUAUCAUACAGAUUAAGUUUCUUAAAUAUCAAAUAUUGCUUAUGUACAAUACGUAAAGCACAUUCUAUUGUCAUGCCUCGGGGCCGAUUUUAAAAGCCUUUUUAUAACGAUUACCAUUUCAGAAAUCAGAGUUGCGGAAAACGUGUCUUUUUUUUUGGAAUGCAACCUGGCCCACGUGAUGUACAAACCCGCCACAAAUACAAAGUUCCUCUAUCCACUCGGACAGAGUCUCCUUUGUAUUUGCACGGCGUACAAACAACAACAUCAGGAUCUCAACAACAACCUACAUUUACAAUCCACAAUCAAUUCAUGUCAUACAUUUUCAUAUAGCUAGCGAUCCUUAGAGAUGAUGCAUGCCCCAAACACUCUUUUGGCGCUGGAUGAUGCAAUGCACGGUACAACAAUCAUCCUAUUUAAAAGUACUCCCCACCCAGAAGCUUUGUUUUUAAACUCUAAUUCAAUCAUUUACAAAAACCAUUCGAAAAUUCUUUUAAAAAUUGUUUCCCACUCAGAAACUCUAUUUUGAAAACCUACUACUUCGAAGGGUAGAAAACCACAAAGUAUACAUAAAUCCAAGAACCAUUAUUCAUAAAACCAAAACCACAGAUCUAAAAUCUCCAAUCACAUGCAUAACAGGAAAUCACCAACUCAACAGUUCAUAAAUAUUCAAACAGUAUUAUUGAUCAUCUAACUAAACCAUUUAAUUAUUAAAUUACUAAAAGCAGAAAUGAAACAUAACUAGGGUGACGGUCGCGACUGCAGUCUAGCUAGUACGUCCUCCCGUCAUGCCCGAAAGCUAACUCCUUGUCCGGACCACCUAGGGAAAUCACUACAACAAAAACGGUCUAUAGCGACACUUUUAAAUGUAGUUACAUGUCAACAAAGUGCUGCUAGCUAAAAUUACCGACACUUUUAAAAAGUGUUGCUAUAUGUGGGGUUGCUAGGUAUAUACUGACAGUUAAAGAGUGUCGCUAUAACCUAAAAGAGUGCUGCUAAUUUACGAACACUUAUUUAAGCAUUUAGCAACCGCCGAAACUCUAUCUCGUUGGCUGCGGUGGCGGAGGAGGACGACAGUAAAGGUUCUUCGUCUAGAAUUUCAGUGGAUUGAGUGAAGAGAGAAGAAAAGAUGGUAAUUGAUUUUUUUUUUUCCUUUUCUGUUUGUAAUCGGGCCAAAUGGACUGAGUGUGGUGGGUUGAGUAGAGUAAUCUUUUAUUUUUGGUUGGAUUGGGCUUUAUAUUUAGGCAUUAGUAGAUGCGUUUUUAAGUUUUAGCAUAAAUGUGACACUUACUCAAAAGUGUCCCAAACAUGUGUCCCUAUAACCUAAUUCUGUUGUA
rnacentral:lncRNA from 1 species